CCAAUAGCGUAUAUUAAAGUUGUUGCAGUUAAAAAGCUCGUAGUUGAAUUUCGAGACCGGCUUACUGGUCGUGCUAUUGUGCGUACUGGUAUAAUCGGUUUCUCCUUUCUGACGAACUAUAAUGCCAUUAAUUUGGUGUUAUAGGGGAUCAGGACUGUUACUUUGAAAAAAUUAGAGUGUUUAAAGCAGGCUCACGCUUGAAUACAUUAGCAUGGAAUAACGGAAUAGGACGUUUGAUUCUAUUUUGUUGGUUUCUAGGAUCGACGUAAUGAUUAAUAGGGAUAGUUGGGGGCAUUAGUAUUCAAUUGUCAGAGGUGAAAUUCUUGGAUUUAUUGAAGACUAACUACUGCGAAAGCAUUUGCCAAGGAUGUUUUCAUUAAUCAAGAACGAAAGUUAGGGGAUCGAAGACGAUCAGAUACCGUCGUAGUCUUAACCAUAAACUAUGCCGACUAGGGAUCGGAUGAUGUUAAUUUUUUAAUGACUCAUUCGGCGCCUUACG
rnacentral:rRNA from 1 species